rnacentral:rRNA from 1 species
GAUGAACGCUGGCGGCGUGCCUAAUACAUGCAAGUCGAGCGAACGGACGAGGAGCUUGCUUCUCUGACGUUAGCGGCGGACGGGUGAGUAACACGUGGAUAACCUACCUAUAAGACUGGGAUAACUUCGGGAAACCGUAGCUAAUACCGGAUAAUAUUUUGAACCGCAUGGUUCAAUAGUGAAAGACGGUCUUGCUGUCACUUAUAGAUGGAUCCGCGCUGCAUUAGCUAGUUGGUAAGGUAACGGCUUACCAAGGCAACGAUGCGUAGCCGACCUGAGAGGGUGAUCGGCCACACUGGAACUGAGACACGGUCCAGACUCCUACGGGAGGCAGCAGUAGGGAAUCUUCCGCAAUGGGCGAAAGCCUGACGGAGCAACGCCGCGUGAGUGAUGAAGGUCUUCGGAUCGUAAAACUCUGUUAUUAGGGAAGAACAAAUGUGUAAGUAACUGUGCACAUCUUGACGGUACCUAAUCAGAAAGCCACGGCUAACUACGUG